rnacentral:rRNA from 1 species
UACAGAGGGGGCAAGCGUUGUUCGGAAUUACUGGGCGUAAAGGGCGCGUAGGCGGCCUGCUAAGUCGAACGUGAAAUCCCCGGGCUCAACCCGGGAACUGCGUCCGAUACUGGCAGGCUUGAAUCCGGGAGAGGGAUGUGGAAUUCCAGGUGUAGCGGUGAAAUGCGUAGAUAUCGGGAAGAACACCCGUGGCGAAGGCGGUGUGCUGGGUUGCAACUGACGCUGAGAUGCGAAAGUGUGGGGAGCAAACGGG